UACGGAGGGUGCAAGCGUUAUCCGGAUUUACUGGGCUUAAAGCGCGUGUAGGCGGGUGGGAACGUCGGCCGCUGAAAUCCCCCGGCUCAACCGGGGAAGUGGCGCCGAAACGGCCCGCCUGGAGGAACGUAGGGGGAGCUGGAACUUCCGGUGGAGCGGUGAAAUGCGUUGAGAUCGGAAGGAACGCCCGUGGCGAAAGCGAGCUCCUGGACGUUUUCUGACGCUGAGACGCGAAAGCCAGGGGAGCGAACGGG
rnacentral:rRNA from 1 species